UACGGGGGGGGUAAGCGUUGUUCGGAAUUACUGGGCGUAAAGGGCUCGUAGGCGGCCAACUAAGUCAGACGUGAAAUCCCUCAGCUUAACUGGGGAACUGCGUCUGAUACUGGAUGGCUUGGAUUUGGGAGAGGGAUGCGGAAUUCCAGGUGUAGCGGUGAAAUGCGUAGAUAUCGGAAGGAACACCAGUGGCGAAAGCACUCUGCUGGGCCGACACUGACACUGAGAGACGAAAGCUAGGGGAGCGAAUGGG
rnacentral:rRNA from 1 species